rnacentral:rRNA from 1 species
UAAUACGGGCGGGGCGAGCGUUGUUCGGAUUCAUUGGGUGUAAAGGGUGCGAAGGCGGUCGUCUAAGUCGAAGGUGAAAUGUCUACGGCUCAACCGAGGCAUUGCCUCCGAUACUGGACGACUUGAGUGCGGAAGGGGAGCGUGGAAUUCCUGGUGUAGCGGUGAAAUGCGUAGAUAUCAGGAGGAACACCGGUGGCGAAGGCGACGCUCUGGUCCGCAACUGACGCUCAUGCACGAAAGCCAGGGGAGCGAACGGGAUUAGAUACCCCGGUAGUCCUGGCCGUAAACGUUGGGCACUAGGUGUGGGAGGUAUCGACCCCUUCCGUGCCGUAGCUAACGCAUUAAGUGCCUCACCUGGGGAGUACGACCGCAAGGUUGAAACUUAAAUGAAUUGACGG